rnacentral:ribozyme from 1 species
GGUGCCCAAAGUUAGUACCCUGAACCAAUGUGGCGAUAGGGAAAUACAAGACUCGCCCGGGGCCACUUGCAUACCCGAGCAAAAUUUAGUUUUCUUCAAAAUGCCAUACGCGCAUCACUUCUACCCACCGCUACCUGUGGAAUA